GAAUUUUGGACAAUGGGCGAAAGCCUGAUCCAGCAAUGCCGCGUGCAGGAUGAAGGCUUUCGGGUUGUAAACUGCUUUUGUACGGAACGAAAAGCUUUGGGUUAAUACUCUGGAGUCAUGACGGUACCGUAAGAAUAAGAAACGGCUAACUAAGUGACAGCAGCCACGGUAAUACGUAGGGUGCAAGCGUUAAUCGGAAUUACUGGGUGUAAAUCGUGCGCAGUCUGUUUUGUAAGACAGAUGUGAAAUCCCCGUGCUCAACCUGUGAACUGCCUUUGUGACUGCAAGGCUAGAGUACGGCAGAGGGGGGUGGAAUUCCGCGUGUAGCAGUGAAAUGCGUAGAUAUGCGGAGGAACACCGAUGGCGAAGGCAACCCCCUGGGCCUGUACUGACGCUCAUGCACGAAAGCGUGGGGAGCAAACA
rnacentral:rRNA from 1 species